UAUUAGAUUAAUGUCAUUUAUCAUUAAGCCGUAAACGUAGAUCGUACAUACCAAAUAUGCUGUUCAUUUUUCUUUCCCAAAAGGGUUAUUUUUCAAAACGUCAGUCCCAAAGUAUGCAAGGCAUAGUUACUUACAGACAAACAAAAAUUCAAGGUGCAGAUUAUAUUGUGGGGCCACGGGAGUGAUAAAAUGAACUUGAUUAAAUUUCAGUCAAUCUACAUACGAUAUGUUAAAUAUCAAACCAGGUCAUCCAAAAAUAGAAUUUGAAGAUUGAAGUGACAGAUUCAAAAGAUGAAUAUCAUUGGAAUUAUCUCAAUUACAUAGCUCAAUUAAAUUAAUCUACUAUAUCUACGGUAUUAAGAAAAACGAUAAUGAAAACGCUGCUAAAUUUAUUAAUGAAAUUACGCACACUACACUAAAUAAAGCUAAAAUGAUUCGAGUACUAUGGAAGAGAUAAAAAAAAAAACAUAAAUCCAUCUUUUAUGUCAACAGAGGAAGCAAUUUCGAUAAUUAUAACUACUUCUCUAUCAAAGUUUCAGUAAAAUAUGUUAAGAAGUAAUGCAAACUGGUAUAGAUGAAAAUGUAAGUAAUAAAUUUUACAUAAUUUUUCAAAAUCCAUCGAGUUGCCAUAAAUUUGAUUUUAAGUAAUUUGUUAAAAAUUGUUGGGAAAUAACAGAGAGUUAUAUAGUUCAUACCACCUAGUAUUCACAACUUUUUUUUUUUUCAAUAGCCGCUUCAUUGAUAUAACCAAUCGGCAAAUUAAGUGAAAAAGCAUUAGAAGCUAGAAAAAAAAAUGUCAACAAUUUUAGAGAAAAUUAUACACGAAAAAUAUCACGAAAAAACACAAAUUCAAAUAUUUUUCAUAGUCUGUUUUUAUCUUUAGAUUCAUUAAUAAAUAGUAAUCGGGAAGUAAAAACGAAAAAACGAAAAUUAUAUCAGUCAGUAAAAGACCUGCUUAUUACCGAUGACAUUGAAACCGAAAGUGAAUCAGAGCAAAUGAUAGUAGUGAAUACUACUGUGCGGCGGCGAGAUGUUCGGCGUUGAACUGUUCUGUGAUGAAUAGUUCUAAGGCGAAACGGUCAUGGUAAAUUAGUUGCGGC
rnacentral:lncRNA from 1 species